UACGGAGGGUGCAAGCGUUAUCCGGAAUCACUGGGUUUAAAGGGUGAGUAGGCGGAUGAAUAAGUCAGAGGUGAAAUCUUGCAGCUUAACUGUAAAACUGCCUUUGAUACUGUACAUCUUGAAUUAGGUUGAGGUCAGCGGAAUGUGACAUGUAGCGGUGAAAUGCGGAGAUAUGUCAUAGAACACCAAUUGCGAAGGCAGCUGACUAGGCCUUAAUUGACGCUGAGUCACGAAAGCGUGGGGAGCGAACAGG
rnacentral:rRNA from 1 species